AAUAGAUACCCAGGUAGUCCACGCCGUAAACGUUGGGCGCUAGAUGUGGGGACCAUUCCACGGUUUCCGUGUCGCAGCUAACGCAUUAAGCGCCCCGCCUGGGGAGUACGGCCGCAAGGCUAAAACUCAAAGGAAUUGACGGGGGCCCGCACAAGCGGCGGAGCAUGCGGAUUAAUUCGAUGCAACGCGAAGAACCUUACCAAGGCUUGACAUAUACGAGAACGCUCUAGAAAUAGAGAACUCUUUGGACACUCGUAUACAGGUGGUGCAUGGUUGUCGUCAGCUCGUGUCGUGAGAUGUUGGGUUAAGUCCCGCAACGAGCGCAACCCUCGUUCUAUGUUGCCAGCGGUUCGGCCGGGAACUCAUAGGAGACUGCCGGGGUCAACUCGGAGGAAGGUGGGGAUGACGUCAAAUCAUCAUGCCCCUUAUGUCUUGGGCUUCACGCAUACUACAAUGGCCGGUACAAAGGGCUGCAAUACCGCAAGGUGAGCGAAUCCCAAAAGCCGGUCUCAGUUCGGAUUGAGGU
rnacentral:rRNA from 1 species